GAACUUGACGUCAGCCAUGCUGAUUCGAGCAGUCAUGUCCUCAUCAAUCUGAGGAAGAGAAGACAUGAUAUGUGGAAGGAGUCUCGAACCUUCAGCACCUUCACCACGAUGUCAUUGCCCUGCCAGCGGCCCUUCCACAGCUGAGGGACAGAGCCUAGUUAUGACACCCACUGGACAACUUCACCUAAGCCUUUAUAACACCACCAACAAAAUAGUAACGAUGCCCGCUAUUGGAGCACCCUUUCAGGAGUUAUAUGAAUAACGGAACAAGUGACUGGGAACUAUGGAGAAGGAGUAUAGAGCUUAAUGGGAACCAAUGAGCCCAAUAAGAGCCUGGAUGAAGAUAACAGGUGAUUCUUACCUCUCAAACCUAAAAACUAAACUCUGCCAACCUUAAAAAAAUAAAGUUUAAAAAUAAAAAAAUUA